UACGUAGGGUGCAAGCGUUGUCCGGAAUUAUUGGGCGUAAAGAGCUCGUAGGCGGUCUGUCGCGUCGGAUGUGAAAAUCCAGGGGCUCAACCCUGGACCUGCAUUCGAUACGGGCAGACUAGAGUUCGGUAGGGGAGACUGGAAUUCCUGGUGUAGCGGUGAAAUGCGCAGAUAUCAGGAGGAACACCGGUGGCGAAGGCGGGUCUCUGGGCCGAAACUGACGCUGAGGAGCGAAAGCGUGGGGAGCAAACAGG
rnacentral:rRNA from 1 species